GCCUCGGUAGCUCAAUGGCAGAGCGUCUGUUUUGUAAACAGAAGGUUGGGAGUUCAAAUCUCCUCCGAGGCU
rnacentral:tRNA from 2 species